UACGUAGGGGGCAAGCGUUGUUCGGAAUUACUGGGCGUAAAGCGUGCGUAGGCGGUUUGUUAAGUCCGUUGUGAAAGCCCUGGGCUCAACCUGGGAAUUGCAGUGGAUACUGGCAAGCUAGAGUACGGUAGAGGAUGGUGGAAUUCCGGGUGUAGCGGUGGAAUGCGUAGAGAUCCGGAAGAACACCGGUGGCGAAGGCGGUCUGCUGGGGUAAUGCUGGACACUGAUGCGCGACAGCGUGGGGAGCAAACAGG
rnacentral:rRNA from 1 species